AAUAGGUUCUUUGUUCUCUUCUUAUCCUUUGUGUCCAUGGAGGAGGGUUUUCUUUGUUUUUUUUCUCUAUGGCGGUGAUGGUGGUUGAGGAUUACUUAGAUCUGGGAUUCGGCUUCCUUUAUUGUUCUAUCUUGUAGUUGAAUUUUGGUGUAACUGAUUGAGGUUUGGUUUGUUUAUUGAGCAACAGGGGUUAUUACAGAUGUAGCAAUUCAAAGGGGUGUUUGGCCCGUAAACAAGUGGAACGAAACAGAUCGGAUCCGGUUAUGUUCAUAGUAGCAUGCACAGCAGAGCACAAUCACCUAGCAGGCUAGCACCAACCAACCGAAACUCACUCGGCGGCAGCACGCGCCGGAAACCCGUGACGCCUCAAGGCCAAACCACCACCACCAGUAGUGACUCUAACAAACCCCCUUUUCUUCAGACAAAAAAUGGUUUUGUCGAAAGGGUAAUGCUGGAAAUAUGGGAAAGAAAGGGAGUUGGUUUUCCGAAAUCAAGAGGGUUUUUGUGGCCCACUCCAAGUAGAAACUAGCCAAUGAUUCAGAUAAGAAAAGGCAUUUCUCUAAUUUUUUUUUUUUUUUUUUAAUUUUGCUCAUGUAUCACCCGGCCCACCCAUAAAAAUAACGGGCGGACUGGGUAAUUUUCCCACGGGUAUUUAUAAAGAUUAUGGGGAUACCCAU